rnacentral:rRNA from 1 species
GACAGAGGGUGCAAACGUUGUUCGGAAUUACUGGGCGUAAAGCGUGCGCAGGCGGUUCGUUAAGUCAGAUGUGAAAGCCCCGGGCUCAACCUGGGAACUGCAUUUGAAACUGGCGGGCUUGAGUAUGGCAGAGGGGGGUGGAAUUCCGCGUGUAGCAGUGAAAUGCGUAGAGAUGCGGAGGAACACCGAUGGCGAAGGCAGCCCCCUGGGCCAAUACUGACGCUCAGGCACGAAAGCGUGGGGAGCAAACAGG